rnacentral:lncRNA from 10 species
CCACAUCAACAGAACUACCAGACAUCUCAGUAUUCUCCCAAACAGCAGAUUUCUCAGUCAGCUUACCAGUCACCACCUAGGUCUCAAUGUUCUUCACCCUUCAGCUUUCCUCAUCAUCAAGUACAGCCUUCCCAGUUGGGCCACCCAAGUAGUCACAUCUUUGUGCCACCUAAUCAGGACCUCCUGGCUGUCAGAAACAGUGAAAUCAUUCAGUAGCAUAUAUCCAAUACACAACAUCUAGCUUGCACAGAGGAUUCAUGAAAAAGACAGAAAUUAUGGUUUAACCUUCUCAAAGACCUGGAACAGUAAUUAAUAGCUGUCCUUCACCCAUCAGUAAUCAACUUUCCCCAUGUAAUUGGCGUUCUCUCUAUGCAGGCACUGUAACACCUUGAAGUUCUUCAAGGGGAAUGUAUAGUCAAUCAAAGCCUUCAAUGAAUGUGAAUCCCAUGCAUAUUACAUAUACACAACGAAGUGGACCUUCAUGUGCCCUAUCACAGUCUCCUCAGAUAAUACCACAUCUAUCUGCAGUUUUAAAAAUUACUGUAGGUGGAGCAACAACUGAAAAUCUUUUAAAUUUCAUGGACCAAGAUGAAUAGUUGGCAGCGCCAGAACCCGUUCAGCCAAUUUUAGUGACUCCAGGUCCUGGAGGAAAAAAGAGACAGUUUAACCAUAUUCACCAGACUGCUCUCCUACUCCUGACCUCAAGUGAUCUAUCUGCCUCUGUUCCCAAAGUGUUGACAUUACAAGCAUGAGCCACAGCGUCCAGCUUGGAGUUAGAAAGAGACCAGUAUGAAUUUGAAAGAUGUAUUAGCCAUAAACUAUUUUUAAUGCUUCUGAAUUUUAUUUAAUGUAA